GGAUUGCCCCAGUAACGGCGAGUGAAGCGGCAAGAGCUCAAAUUUGAAAGCUGGCUCCUUCGGGGUCCGCAUUGUAAUUUGCAGAGGAUGCUUCGGGAGCGGUCCCCAUCUAAGUGCCCUGGAACGGGACGUCAUAGAGGGUGAGAAUCCCGUAUGGGAUGGGGUGUCCGCGCCCGUGUGAAGCUCCUUCGACGAGUCGAGUUGUUUGGGAAUGCAGCUCUAAAUGGGUGGUAAAUUUCAUCUAAAGCUAAAUAUUGGCCGGAGACCGAUAGCGCACAAGUAGAGUGAUCGAAAGAUGAAAAGCACUUUGAAAAGAGAGUUAAAAAGCACGUGAAAUUGUUGAAAGGGAAGCGCUUGCGACCAGACUCGCUCGCGGGGUUCAGCCGGCAUUCGUGCCGGUGUACUUCCCCGCGAGCGGGCCAGCGUCGGUUUGGGCGGUCGGUCAAAGGCCUCUGGAAGGUAACGCCCCCUCGGGGGCGUCUUAUAGCCAGGGGUGCAAUGCGGCCUGCCCGGACCGAGGAACGCGCUUCGGCUCGGACGCUGGCAUAAUGGUCGUAAGCGACCCGUCUUGAAACACGGACCAAGGAGUCUAACAUCUACGCGAGUGUUCGGGUGUCAAACCCGUGCGCGAAGUGAAAGCGAACGGAGGUGGGAACCCGCAAGGGUGCACCAUCGACCGAUCCUGAAGUCUUCGGAUGGAUUUGAGUAAGACCGUAACUUUUGGGAACCCGAAAAGAUGGUGAACUAUGCCUGAAUAAGGGCGAACCCAGAGGAAAAUCUU
rnacentral:rRNA from 1 species